GAUGAACGCUAGCUACAGGCUUAACACAUGCAAGUCGAGGGGCAGCAUGAACUUAGCUUGCUAAGUUUGAUGGCGACCGGCGCACGGGUGAGUAACGCGUAUCCAACCUACCCUUGUCCAUCGGAUAACCCGUCGAAAGGCGGCCUAACACGAUAUGCGGUUCUCAGCAGGCAUCUAACGAGAACGAAAUGUGAAGGAGAAGGAUGGGGAUGCGUCUGAUUAGCUUGUUGGCGGGGUAACGGCCCACCAAGGCGACGAUCAGUAGGGGUUCUGAGAGGAAGGUCCCCCCACAUUGGAACUGAGACACGGUCCAAACUCCUACGGGAGGCAGCAGUGAGGAAUAUUGGUCAAUGGACGGGAGUCUGAACCAGCCAAGUAGCGUGCAGGAUGACGGCCCUAUGGGUUGUAAACUGCUUUUAUAGGGGGAUAAAGUGUGCCACGUGUGGCAUAUUGCAGGUACCAUUUGAAUAAGGACCGGCUAAUUCCGUGCCAGCAGCCG
rnacentral:rRNA from 1 species